UAACAAGUCUUCACACCCCUCAAACCAAGACCUCUAGGGUGUAUAAAAACGUCUUUCAUAUCCUUGCCUUAGGGUGGCGAGGAAAUAGUAAAACCA
ncrna:unclassified sequences PhotoRC-II RNA